rnacentral:rRNA from 1 species
GAGGAAUAUUGGUCAAUGGGCGCGAGCCUGAACCAGCCAUGUCGCGUGCAGGACGACUGCCCUAUGGGUUGUAAACUGCUUUUGUAUGGGAAGAAACGACGGUACGCGUACUGUUUUGCCGGUACCAUACGAAUAAGGAUCGGCUAACUCCGUGCCAGCAGCCGCGGUAAUACGGAGGAUCCGAGCGUUAUCCGGAUUUAUUGGGUUUAAAGGGUGCGUAGGCGGGAGAUUAAGUCAGUGGUGAAAGUUUGCGGCUCAACCGUAAAAUUGCCAUUGAUACUGGUUUUCUUGAGUACAGUUGAGGUAGGCGGAAUGUGGUGUGUAGCGGUGAAAUGCAUAGAUAUACCACAGAACACCGAUUGCGAAGGCAGCUUACUAAGUUGUAACUGACGCUGAAGCACGAAAGCAUGGGGAUCAAAC